rnacentral:rRNA from 1 species
CCUGCCCUCGAGACUGCGAUAACAUCGCCAACGCGAUGCUAAUACCGGAUAAAGCACAGGAUUCGCAUGGAUUUUGUGUUAAAGUUGGCUUCGGCUUGCACUUGAGGAUGGACCUGCGCCCCAUUAGUUAGUUGGUGAGGUAACGGCUCACCAAGACUGCGAUGGGUAGCCGGCCUGAGAGGGUGAUCGGCCACACUGGGACCGAGAUACGGCCCAGACUUCUACGGAAGGCAGCAGUAAGGAAUAUUGCGCAAUGGUCGAAAGACUGACGCAGCAACGCCGCGUGCAGGAUGAAGCUUCUAGGAGUGUAAACUGCUUUUAGUUGGGAAGAACAGACAGGUUUCGAAUAGGGACUUGUUUUGACGGUACCUUUAGAAAAAGCCCCGGCUAACUCCGUGCCAGCAGCCGCGGUAACACGGGGGGGGCAAGCGUUGUCCGGAAUUAUUGGGCGUAAAGGGCGCGCAGGCGGGAUGAUCAGUCUGAGGUGAAAUCUUUUGGCUUAACCGAAAGCUUGCCUUGGAUACUGUCAUUCUUGAGUUCGGAAGAGGGAAGUGGAAUUCCUGGUGUAGCGGUGAAAUGCGUAGAUAUCAGGAAGAACACCGGUGGCGAAGGCGGCUUCCUGGUCCGAUACUGACGCUGAGGCGCGAAAGCGUGGGGAGCGAACAGGAUUAGAUACCCUGGUAGUCCACGCUGUAAACGAUGGGUACUAGGUGUUGGUCCUUUUUAGGAUCAGCGCCGCAGCUAACGCAUUAAGUACCCCGCCUGGGGAAUACGACCGCAAGGUUGAAACUCAAAGGAAUUGACGGGGGCCCGCACAAGCGGUGGAGCAUGUGGUUUAAUUCGAUGCAACGCGAAGAACCUUACCUGGGCUUGAACCGUAGUCGAAAACCCCUGAAAAGGGGUCCUCCUUCGGGACGGCUAUAGAGGUGCUGCAUGGCUGUCGUCAGCUCGUGCCGUGAGGUGUUGGGUUAAGUCCCGCAACGAGCGCAACCCUUGCCCUUAGUUGCCAUCAGGUUAUGCUGGGAACUCUAAGGGGACUGCCCCGGAUAACGGGGAGGAAGGUGGGGAUGACGUCAAGUCCUCAUGGCCCUUACGUCCAGGGCUACACACAUGCUACAAUGGCCGGUACAAUGGGCAGCGCUACCGCAAGGUGGA